GAUGAAGAACGUAGCGAAAUGCGAUACGUAAUGUGAAUUGCAGAAUUCAGUGAAUCAUCGAAUCUUUGAACGCAUAUUGCGCUCUCUGGUAUUCCGGAGAGCAUGCUUGUUUGAGUAUCAGUAAACACCUCAACUCCCCUUUCUUUUUUGAAAUGGGAGCUGGACUUGAGUGAUCCCAACGCUUUUCUCACCGAAAAGUGGCGGGUUACUUGAAAUGCAGGUGCAGCUGGACUUUUCUCUGAGCUAAAAGCAUAUCUAUUUAGUCUGCCUAAAAACAGAUUAUUACCUUUGCUGCAGCUAACAUAAAGGAGAUUAGUUCUUGUGCUGACUGAUGCAGGAUUCACAGAGACAGCUUCGGCUGGCCUUUGUAAACUCGAUCUCAAAUCAAGUAAGACUACCCGCUGAACUUAAGCAUAUCAAUCAGCGGAGGA
rnacentral:misc_RNA from 1 species